rnacentral:rRNA from 1 species
CUACGGGAUGCUCCAGUCGAGAACAGUCUACAAUGGACGAAAGUCUGAUAGUGCGACGCCGCGUGGAUGAAGAAGCAUUUCGGUGUGUAAAGUCCUUUUCUGUGUGAGCGAUGUUUUCCAGGUUAAUAGCUUGGAGAAAGCGAUAUUAACACAGGAAUAAGCUCCGGCUAACUCCGUGCCAGCAGCCGCGGUAACACGGGGGGAGCAAGCGUUGUCCGGAAUUACUAGGCGUAAAGGGUAAGUAGGCGGAAUUGUAAGUCAGAUGUUAAAGGCACCGGCUCAACCGGUGUAUGGCAUUUGAUACUGUAAUUCUAGAGUAAGGUGGGGGAAGACGGAAUUCCUGGUGUAGCGGUGGAAUGCGCAGAUAUCAGGAGGAACACCAGAGGCGCAGGCGGUCUUCUAUACCAUUACUGACGCUCAAUUACGAAGGUGUGGGUAUCAAACAGGAUUAGAUACCCCUGUAGUC